rnacentral:rRNA from 1 species
GACCACCUACGGGAGGCAGCAGUGAGGAGUAUCGGUCAAUGGGCGGGAGCCUGAACCAGCCAAGUCGCGUGAGGGAAGACGGUCCUAUGGAUUGUAAACCUCUUUUGUCGGGGAGCAAAGAGACCACGUGUGGUCAAAAGCGAGAGUACCCGAAGAAAAAGCAUCGGCUAACUCCGUGCCAGCAGCCGCGGUAAUACGGAGGAUGCGAGCGUUAUCCGGAUUUAUUGGGUUUAAAGGGUGCAUAGGCGGGACGGUAAGUCAGCGGUAAAAAUGCGGAGCUCAACUCCGUCGAGCCGUUGAAACUG